GCCAUAUGCUGCUUGCCCUUGAUGCCAUUAUGGGACCUUUUUGUACGAUCUUGCUAUAGGUUGUACUGUCUUGGGCCAUCCCAAUGGAAAGUGAUUCUCAGAUUGUUCAAAGAAGUUUGUGUGUUGAGUCUGCCCCUCUGAAAAUGCCUGUAAUCUUGUGAAAAAUUGUUCAAAAGCACCUGCAAUUCUGGGAUGAUUGGAGAAGAUAUUGCCUUGAUUGGGUACCGGUAGGUUCCAGCAGGAAGGUCUCUUGAAACUCCACAGUGAGGAAUAUGGAGAUAGAACCCAUGGAGAGAAUGGGCUCUCUUGAAAUGCCACAGGUUUACAAAUAUGAAUCUCACAGGAGGACCAUAAUGCUCCCAGCUAGCGAUGGCCCAAGAAUGAAAAGCACCACAUCAAAAUCCUUCUGAAGAGCUGGGCUGCCUGACUCCCCUGACUAAUCUUCUGCAACAACCCUUCUCCCCAUUCUCUCGCCCAGAAAAGCAUGCAGAGAAGGACUGUAGAUAACACCAGGACCCCUGGAAGGGGCUGAGAUAGGAGCAGUGGGCACUGCCAGAGGGCAGUGUCCUGAAGAGGACACCACCGAGCGGGAAGCAACGCGGGCCCAGACAACAACAAAGGAGCAGAGGACGGACAGGACACUACCAGCAGUGGGCGCCCCACCAAGGACUGAGCUAAUUCCCGGAGCAACGAAUGGGAGGCACCAUGGUGAGAAGCCAAAACAGUGGAAGAAUCAGCACAAUUCCCAGGAAAUGUCCAUCAGUGAAUAUCCUCAUCUACUGCCCUGCAAGAGGUUUUAGUCCUGAUCAUACUGCACAUGCAGCAUCUCUACAGAAUGACUGAGGAUGCUUCAUCGUUUCACAGCUCCUACAUGUGACUGGACAUGUGCCACCCACACAAAGCAACUGAGCCUACUCCCUCCAGCCCAGGACUACAUGGGAGAAGACAGACUUUCCCUGGGCCAGAGGUACUGAAGUACAGUGCCAUAUGAAAGAAGAAGACCAAAGUAAAGGGGCUCGCUCACAUGAAGAUGGCCCACCUUUCUCAGGAAAAGGCGGUGAGCCUGAGGAGUCCAGUACCAGAAACCACCUUUCAGAAGCAGCAGCAAGACACUUCGCUCACCCUCCUGCACAAGUCAUUGCUUGCUCUCUCUUCCUCUCCACCCAUGUCCGCCCAGCACACUGAAUGCAGAUUUCUAAGAUGAAACUCUUCCUCUUUGGUCAGGAGGUGAGCCUGGCAAGCUCACCCAACCUGACAGGAGCAACAUCAAGAAUUCACCAUUUUUCUGCACAACUCACAUCCCUCCCAUCUCCAGAAUGCUGGCUGACUUAGAUAAAAAAUCUUACACCCCACCACAAGGGAUAUCAACCCCUCACCAGUGCAACAGGGACUUAACCCUUCUCUCUUGGCUGAGGAGGCCCCCUUGGCUCUGUUGGGCAUAAUCCAACUGGAUACAGGAUAUUAAAGGCAGCAGAGAAGCUCAAUCUGCGCUGACCCCUGGUAAGGAAAGAGGAGUGCUGCUGACUGCUGAGGGAGGACCUCCUGCAUGCCAGAAUGCGGAGGCCAGCCAGCCAGAGACAGACCCCUAUACACAGGCUUGAGAUGCCACAGAGAGGGGAGACACCUUGGAGACCCAGAGACUAUGAACUUCUUACAGUCGGGUAGAAAGUAACGCAGGGAAACUUGGUGGGGAAGCGGUUGUAGAACCAGAGACAGGCUUGGUGUGUUUCGGUAGGAUCCCCACUGAGCGGGUGGUGGGCAGCCCUGCCAAUGACAGGGCCCUGGGUUGGGACUUGGUGAAGAGGGCAGGCCUGGGUCCCCCUAUCCUGACCACCAUCCAUCCUGGGGUGGUGGCCCAGCUCCCUAGCACUCCCCGUAUUAUUGACUCUGGCCAUCAGGCCGCGCUGCCCUGAUCACAAGGGUCGUAUCACUGACUAAAGCCACAGGGCCACGCAGCCCCAAGAUCAGGGGCAGCCCAACAGAUGCAACCACCGAAACGCACCCCCCUCCCAUGGUGACGGGUGUAUCAACCCCGUGAUGCCCCUUCAGUAACCCAAGACUCCUCUAAAGGAGGAAC